rnacentral:rRNA from 1 species
AUUGAACGCUGGCGGCAUGCCUAACACAUGCAAGUCGAGCGGAGGAAGGGAGCUUGCUCCUUGAUUCAGCGGCGGACGUGUGAGUAAUUCCUAGGAAUCUGCCUGGUGGGGGGGGAUAACGUCCGGAAACGGGGGCUAAUAGCGCGUACGUCCUGAGGGUGAAACUGGGGGAUCUUCGGACCUCUGGCUAUCAGAUGAGCCUAGGUCGGAUUAGCUAGUUGGUGGGGUAAAGGCCUACCAAGGGGACGAUCCGAACCUGGCAUGACGGGAUGAUCAAUCACCCGGGAAGUGAGACACGGUCCAGACUCCUACGGGAGGCAGCAGUGGGGAAUAUUGGACGAUGGGCGAAAGCCUAAUACAGCCAUGCGGGGGGUGUGAAGAAGGUCUUAGGAUUGUAAAGCAAAUAAAGUUGGGAGGAAGGGAAGUAAGAUAAUAACUUGAUGUUUUGACGUUACCAACAGAAUAAGCGCCGGCUAACUUCGUG